rnacentral:rRNA from 1 species
AGCAGCCGCGGUAAUUCCAGCUCCAAUAGCGUAUAUUAAAGUUGCUGCAGUUAAAAAGCUCGUAGUUGAAUUUCGGGACCAAUCUGCCGGUCGUGCCUCCGGUACGCACUGGUUUUAUUGGUCUCUCCCUUCUGACGAACCAUGAUGUCAUUAAUUUGGUGUCAUGGGGAAUCAGGACUGUUACUUUGAAAAAAUUAGAGUGUUUAUAGCAGGCUCACGCUUGAAUACAUUAGCAUGGAAUAAUGAAAUAGGACGUUUGACCCUAUUUUGUUGGUUUCUAGGAUCGACGUAAUGAUUAAUAGGGAUAGUUGGGGGCGAUUAGUAUUCAAUUGUCAGAGGUGAAAUUCUUGGAUUUAUUGAAGACUAACUACUGCGAAAGCAUUUGCCAAGGAUGUUUUCAUUAAUCAAGAACGAAAGUUAGGGGAUCGAAGACGAUCAGAUACCGUCGUAGUCUUAACCAUAAACUAUGCCGACUAGGAAUCAGACGAUGUUAAUUUUUUAAUGACUCGUUUGGCACCUU